UGACCCAACCUUGAGGCUCUGCACCCACAGGCCUGAGGCUUCGGACAGCCGCCAGUUCCGGAUCGCCCUUCUCUGCCUUCUAGCCUAAUCUGGACCACCAAGACUCGCACACUGCGCCCUCGUCUGUUUCCAGGCGAGCCCUACCCGCCCUCGCGCGACGCGUCGCCCGGCCUGGGAGGUUCCCUAGGCCGGCUAAAGUUCUAGCAAGGCUGCUGGGAUUUGGGCUACUUCUCCCAUGAGCCAUCACGGCCACGGACAAGCAGGCCCGAACUACAUUUCCCAGAGGGCAGCGGUCAAGCGGAUCUUCGGCUUCUCUUCCAUUUUCGCGCCAUUCUGGAGCUGUGCAAGGAUACCUACCUUGGAUACAUAAUUCCUACAUUAUGUAUACUUCUUUUAAGCCUGGACUGAUAUCAUGAUGAAUAAUGGUCUGGAUUCUCUGUUUUUCUCCAGUAGGGAAACCCGUAGGAGAACGGAUCAGUUUUUGCAGACAUCAAGCUAUGACAUAUAAAAAUCUUGAUAGUGAAACUUUUGAAUUAUACUGAUGAUAUUACUCAAGGAUUGUCCCAGAAAUGGACACUCCAUUUCUAAGCCAGAUGUGGUUGACUUAUUGGAGCAAGGAAAAGAGCCCUGGAUGAUUUUGAGGGAAGAAACACAGACAGUACACAGGUAAGGAGGGCAAAAGGAG